rnacentral:rRNA from 1 species
AUUGAACGCUGGCGGCAGGCCUAACACAUGCAAGUCGAACGAGUGGCGGACGGGUGAGUAAUGUCUGGGAAACUGCCUGAUGGAGGGGGAUAACUACUGGAAACGGUAGCUAAUACCGCAUACCAUCGGAUGUGCCCAGAUGGGAUUAGCUAGUAGGUGGGGUAACGGCUCACCUAGGCGACGAUCCCUAGCUGGUCUGAGAGGAUGACCAGCAACACUGGAAGUGAGAAACGGUCCAGACUCCGACGGGAGGCAGCAGUGGGGAAUAUGGCACAAUGGGCGCAAGCCUGAUGCAGCCAUGCCGCGUGUAUGAAGAAGGCCUGCGGGUUGUAAAGUACUUUCAGCGGGGAGGCGUUACCCGCAGAAGAAGCACCGGCUAACUCCGUGCCAGCAGCCGCGGUAAUUC